rnacentral:rRNA from 1 species
GUAUGAAGGUUAAACACUAUUAAGCUGUAAAAUAUAAAAUAUAAGAAUUUAAAUUUUGAGUAAAAAUGCUUAAAUAUAUUAGAGGGACGAUAAGACCCUAAAAUCUUUAUUUUUGUAUAAUGUGAGAUUUUUAUUAAUUAAGUUUUGCUGGGGAAGUAGUUAUAAAUAAUUUAUAAAAUAAAUAACAUAAGUAUUAAAGAAUUUUUUAUAAAAUUUAUUUGUGUAAGUUACUUUAGGGAUAACAGCAUAAUAAUUUUGGAAAGAUCUUAUUUAUAAAAUUGAUUAUGACCUCGAUGUUGAAUUAAUAUAUUUUUUUGAGGAAAAAGGCAAAAAAAGAGGUUUGUUCAACCUUUAAGUUUUACGUGAUUU